rnacentral:rRNA from 1 species
CACGUAGGGUGCGAGCGUUGUCCGGAAUUAUUGGGCGUAAAGAGCUCGUAGGCGGUGUGUCGCGUCGGCCGUGAAAACCUGCAGCUUAACUGUGGGCUUGCGGUCGAUACGGGCAUCACUGGAGUUCGGCAGGGGAGACUGGAAUUCCUGGUGUAGCGGUGAAAUGCGCAGAUAUCAGGAGGAACACCGAUGGCGAAGGCAGGUCUCUGGGCAUUAACUGACGCUGAGGAGCGAAA